AUUGAACGCUGGCGGAAGGCCUAACACAUGAAAGUCGAGCGAGCGGCGGACGGGUGAGUAAUGUCUGGGAAACUGCCUGAUGGAGGGGGAUAACUACUGGAAACGGUAGCUAAUACCACAUAACAUCAGAUGUGCCCAGAUGGGAGUAGCUAGUAGGUGGGGUAACGGCACACCUAGGCGACGAUCCCUAGCUGGUCUGAGAGGAUGCCCAGCCACACUGCAACUGAGACGCGGUCCAGACUCCAACGGUAGGCAUCGGUGGGGAAUGUUGCACAAUGGGCUCGAGCCUGAUGCAGCCAUGCCGCGUGUGUGAAGGGGGCCUUCGGGUUUUAAAGCACUUUCAGCUUGGUGGCGUUACCCGAAGAAGAAGCACCGGCUAACUCCGUGCCAGCAGCCGCGGUAAUUC
rnacentral:rRNA from 1 species